ACCAGGAUGGCCGAGUGGUUAAGGCGUUGGACUUAAGAUCCAAUGAACAAAUGUCCGCGGGGGUUCAAACCCCACUCCUGGUA
rnacentral:tRNA from 1 species